GGGUAUAAGGUUGGUCGUGCCUUGGUAUGUACUAGCUUUGGUGGUUCCUACCUCUUGAAGAACCGUAAUGUCAUUAACUUGGUGUUGCGGGGAAUCAGGACUGUUACUUUGAAAAAAUUAGAGUGUUUAAAGCAGGCUCGCGCUUGGAAUACAUUAGCCAUGGAAUAAUGAAAUAGGACGUUGACCCUAUUUUGUUGGUUUCUAGGAUUGACGUA
rnacentral:rRNA from 1 species